rnacentral:rRNA from 1 species
UACGUAGGGCGCAAGCGUUUGUCCGGAAUUAUUGGGCGUAAAGAGCUCGUAGGCGGCUUGUCACGUCGGUUGUGAAAGCCCGGGGCUUAACCCCGGGUCUGCAGUCGAUACGGGCAGGCUAGAGUGUGGUAGGGGAGAUCGGAAUUCCUGGUGUAGCGGUGAAAUGCGCAGAUAUCAGGAGGAACACCGGUGGCGAAGGCGGCAUCCUGGACCAUGACUGACGCUGAGGAGCGAAAGCCAGGGGAGCAAACGGG